GGAUGCGAUCAUACCAAUUCACAUGCACUGGAGCCCAUCAGAAUUCUGAAGUUAAGCAAAUUUGGACGAGAGUAGUACUAGGAUGGGUAACCUCAUGGGAAGUCCUCGUGUUGUAUCCC